rnacentral:rRNA from 1 species
CCCUUAGAUGUUCUGGGCCGCACGCGCGCUACACUGAUGCAUUCAACGAGCCUAUCCUUGACCGACAGGUCCGGGUAAUCUUUGAAUCUGCAUCGUGACGGGGAUAGAUUAUUGCAAUUAUUAAUCUUCGACGAGGAAUGCCUAGUAGGCGCAAGUCAUCAGCUUGCGUCGAUUACGUCCCUGCCCUUUGUACACACCGCCCGUCGCUCCUACCGAUUGGGUGUGCUGGUGAAAUGUUCGGAUCGGCCGUUUGUCGCGGUUUCCGCGGCUCGUGGCUGAGAAGUUCAUUAAACCCUCCCACCUAGAGGAAGGAGAAGUCGUAACA